rnacentral:lncRNA from 1 species
AAACUAAAUCUUUUGUUCACCAGCUGCUCAGCUUUUCAGUCUGGGUCUGAGCUGAAACCUGCUGCAAGUCUGACGGUACCAAAUUACAUAUAUAUCUGUCAAAAUGAUGUAGGACCUAAAGUCUCUCUGUAAGUUGAUCCUUUUGACCCCAUGAUUAGGAGCUUCACAAUGUGGUACCACACCUGGAAACCUCCAGAACAAGAUCUCAAGGAAACACAGGAAAUUCCUGAAACAGCAAAACCCCCUAUGUGAAGACGUCUGUUAUUCCUUUGUGUAUCAGGAGCAUCACUGUUAAUUAACUGUUGAUACACUUAAAACAGCUUGGUUGGCAAUGUCCUUUUUGAAUAAAGAAGAGCCAGGUGUGUUUUUCAGGAUGAACUAGACAAUGCUGUCACAAGUUUACCUCUACAUCUUAUUGCCUUGGAAAAAUUUCCUGCAUAUCGUGGCACAAGAUGGUUGGCUCUCCAGGCAGCAGUUGGCGUUGUGAAUCAGUCAUCUCAGCAUGUGUCUCCAAGAUCCCACAGCAGGGGGAAAAAGAGGUGGAGGGUCACAUGCCUGGUGUUACAUACUUUGAGGCAGAGGUGGUAGGUGCCAUUUCUGCUCACAGCUCAUGGACCAGAACAAAGCCAUGCAUACCUGAGAGAGGACCAGAAAAUAUUCUGAAGCAGAUGGCUAUUUGGUGAGCAGUAAAUGUUUCUGUUACAACAGGUCUUGACAAACUUCAAAUGUACUCCUACUAGGCCUACUUCACACCACUAAACUCUGUACUUCCUGUUGCUUGAUGGCAUCUUAUGCUGAUGUUUUCUAUCAUAGUGUCCGGCACAAAACAAGAGCUCAAUACAUAUACUUAAUAGCGCAUUUAGAUCUAAGAGUUUCACUUUAUCAAAAGAUUUUAGUACCUACGUAGCUAUUGGGCCACAUCAGGAAAAUGUAACUGCUUCUACAACUGCAAAGAAAAUUUAACUAAUUGUAUGCUCAUCCCAGCUUCAGGUUUUUGUUUUGUUUUGUUUGCUAGCUUCUUUUUAUUUCAUAAUUUUUGCUUUGUUUUCUGCCCUUGAGCAGAGGUUCAUUUCUAGUUUUCACUGGAAUUAGAACAACAGUUGUGUCCAUAUGCAAUAACAGUGUUUCAAAUUCUUUGGGGAUUUGCCCACAGUGUCUGCAGUCAUAUUGUGACACCAGUUGUGAUGCCAGUCUCUGUAAAUCAGACUUAUUCCCAGUGAGACAUUAUAUAUUUUUGCAGCCAAUACGAUCUAUUUUAUAGCGAUUUAUAGCAUUGUCUCUGAAAAGGAUACUUUGAUUUGUGUCUUGUUUUUGUCAGUUUUCAACACUUUGAUUGUGGCCCAGGUUAAUUAAUAUUUUGUGUCUAGGUUUCCUCAUCUCUAAAAUAAAGAUGUUUAUUUCUAUAGCUUCAUGUUGACAAUUAAAUUAUAUAAUUUAUGUUACUCAACUAGCAAGUAAAUUGAUGUACAGUGUAUUUAUAAAUGAUAGAUACUAUCUUUAUGUUAAUUUUUAUUAUUGUCAUCAUUAUCAUCAAUUUUCAGGUCCGUGUUCUGACUAAAAGGAAGCCACACUCUGUCGAAAACAAGCUUUGUAAGAAAAUUUUGAAGUAUUUACUUAUAUCUAACCAUUCAUUCCACCUUUUCUCCCAAAUAACACUCUAAUAUCUUGAGACAUCUUGUCUAGGGCCAGAUUUCAUAAAUGCUUGUGAGGCAGGAGAAUAAGUUCCAGAGGCAGUUCACACUGCCUAAAGCCAAUUCACACUGACUUCCUAUAACUAAAUCUAAAGGAAAAUCUCAACUUUCCUCGCCCAAGUAACAAAAGAAUCAGAGGUUAUACUCCCUUUGCAACCUGCCCCUUUUCUGCCUGGCAGAUGAAAAAUGAAAAGUACCUAUGACUGGUCCCCUCCCACGACCAGCCAGACUGGUCACGGAUCACUACUUCAUUUACAUAGGGCGUAAACCGAGUAACCAAUGGGAAACCUCUAGAGGGUAUUUAAACCCCAGAAAAUUCUGUAACCGGUGGUCUCCAGCAGGUUGCUCAAUCUUGCUGCCACUCUGUGGGAUGUACUUUUGUUUCAAUAAAUCUGUGCUCUUCCUUC